rnacentral:rRNA from 1 species
UACGUAGGGUGCAAGCGUUGUUCGGAAUUACUGGGCGUAAAGGGCGCGUAGGCGGGCCCGUAUGUCGAUUGUGAAAGCCCAGGGCUCAACCUUGGAAUUGCAGUCGAAACUGCGGGUCUUGAAUGCCUGAGGGGAUGGCGGAAUUGCUGGUGUAGAAGUGAAAUUCGUAGAUAUCAGCAAGAACACCUGAGGCGAAGGCGGCUAUCUGGCGGUGCAUUGACGCUGAGGCGCGAAAGCGUGGGGAGCAAAC